CUACGUCCCCAUCACCCCAGAGCCCUGAGUUCCCUAACGACCAGGAACCACCUCCCCCGCCGUCAGGACAGGGGGCCCACCAGCUGGCAGAGGACCUUGGCUCUCCCGGGGUGGCUGGAUCGUGGCCGUGCCCCACAGGGACGCUGGCCAACAGCCCCCUCCAGAUUCAGCUGCAGCUCUGAGAGGAUUUAAAUCCCGUCCAGUUGGAUCUGGUUCCUCUGCCUCUAUCGUUCUGACCCACAAAUCCUGCUAAUACCAUGACUUUUUGCCAAGUGAUGAGGGGCUAGAAAGACGAGGGGCGUCCAGCUGCUGUAAGGGCACUGAGAGCCACGUGGGUGCAGACAGAAAGGAAAGGAAUGUGGGCCAUGGCCAGCGGGCGCCAGGCAACCGGAGAGCUGGGUGCGGACACGGGCUUGCUCGCCUGUCAGGUCAGGUAAGCGAGACUUCCGUCACCUGAUGCCGAGAGAAAGGGGCCCGGAGCUGGGCAGUGAGCCGCCUGUUCCCCCGGGAAACCACUGUGGGAGCAGUGGGACUCCAGCGGGCAGACCACGCAGGCGUCCUGGUUUUCCAGCUUCAUACCUGCUUUCACUCUGGAUAAAAAGUGAUGACAGUUACAUGAGGCUACAUAGGAAGCUUUACUUAUGAGAUCAUACGUGCUAAGACAGCUCGAGGCAAAAUGUCAGGAGGCCUGUAACCUGCGUUCAGAUGGCUCAGCAAAAAGUGGAAAAGGAAGAGAGACUGAGCUGUGAGGAGGCGGCAGCAGUUGGCGAAUCGAGGUGAAGAUAUCUGUUCAUUCGACUGGUUUUUCAAUUUUCCCGGAGUUCUGAGAAAUUAAGAACUCAGAGUAGGGGGGCAGGGUCUGUGUUGAAGGGACAGUCCGUUAGGGCUGGGGGGUCAGGGGGCUGCCCUGGCUUGUCUGCCUGAACUGUGGCAGACCUGGGAGCCCUGGCUCCAUCUGGGGGGGUGGUCCAUUUGCUGGUGGCUACGUGCCGGGGAAGCCCUGUCCUGUGACCAUAGGUUCCAUUUCAACCCCAGACAGCCCUUUCCGGGUUCCUCUGGGCUUCAGAACAGGAGGGUGUGUGAGGGAGGCUCAGGAGGGGGGACAUGGGUCUACCUACGGCUGAUUCAUGUGGAUGUUUGGCAGAAACCAACACAAUCCUGCAAAGCAAUUAUCCUUCAAUUAAAAGUAAAUGACUUUUUUAAAAAGUCAAAUAUGUUAA
rnacentral:lncRNA from 1 species